ensembl:lncRNA
GAUUGAUCUGGCAAAUUACUAGCAUGUGGUUGCCGUACCCGAGGUCUUGGUACUGUCAGCUCCACAUAAAGAAGGAUACAUUCGGUCUGAGUUUUACUUACGUAAUUACUCUGAAAUGAAGACAGAAAACUAUUUUUUUGUGUCUUUACCUGCAAACUUUUAGGAGAUUCAACCUCCAUCCUGCAAAGUAGUAGUGCUGAAAUAUCUGUGCUCAGGCGGAUGGAAGAGAAAAGCCCCUGAAGGACUGCCUAAAACGAGCGCCGCUUGGAAAUGAAGAGAUGGAGUAAGGGGGAAAAUCACAAAGAGAAAAGCGAAAUGACGAGAUGAGAGGGGAUACACGUCGAUACAAGGAUGUGUGACUAUGGCACCCUGUGGUUAGUCUUUGAUGUUACCUUAAGAGACAGAUGAGAGAGGAAGAAGAGGAGGAGGAAGAGGACGAG